GAUGAUCGCUGGCGGCGUGCCUAAUACAUGCAAGUCGAGCGAACAGACGAGGAGCUUGCUCCUCUGACGUUAGCGGCGGACGGGUGAGUAACACGUGGAUAACCUACCUAUAAGACUGGGAUAACUUCGGGAAACCGGAGCUAAUACCGGAUAAUAUAUUGAACCGCAUGGUUCAAUAGUGAAAGACGGUUUUGCUGUCACUUAUAGAUGGAUCCGCGCCGCAUUAGCUAGUUGGUAAGGUAACGGCUUACCAAGGCAACGAUGCGUAGCCGACCUGAGAGGGUGAUCGGCCACACUGGAACUGAGACACGGUCCAGACUCCUACGGGAGGCAGCAGUAGGGAAUCUUCCGCAAAGGGCGAAAGCUUGACGGAGCAACGCCGCGUGAGUGAUGAAGGUCUUCGGAUCGUAAAACUCUGUUAUUAGGGAAGAACAAAUGUGUAAGUAACUAUGCACGUCUUGACGGUACCUAAUCAGAAAGCCACGGCUAACUACGUG
rnacentral:rRNA from 1 species